UCAGCUUCUCGGCCUUUUGGCUCAGAUCAAGUGUAGUAUCUGUUCUUAUCAGUUUAAUAUCUGAUACGUCCCCCAUCGGGGGACUACAUAUUAAAUGGAUUUUUCGAACAGGGAGUCGGAAAUGGGGCUUGCUCCGUCCGCUCCACGCAUCGACCCGGUAUUGCAGUACCUCCGGGAACGGUGCAACACUU
rnacentral:snRNA from 1 species